rnacentral:rRNA from 1 species
UACGAAGGGGGCGAGCGUUGUUCGGAUUUACUGGGCGUAAAGGGCGCGUAGGCGGUCCCAUAAGUCCCGCGUGAAAUCCCCCGGCUCAACUGGGGAACGGCGCGGGAGACUGCGGGGCUUGAGUUCGGGAGAGGGAAGCGGAAUUCCGGGUGUAGCGGUGAAAUGCGUAGAUAUCCGGAGGAACACCGGUGGCGAAGGCGGCUUCCUGGACCGACACUGACGCUGAGGCGCGAAAGCUAGGGGAGCAAACGGG